AAAGACCCCAGCUUAGCAGCAGUAACGCCAUUUUGCAAGGCUGUACUUAAGAUGACUGGUUCAGGGAAAGGUUAGAACACUGAGUACACAGCGGCUGCCAAGCAGGAUGUGUUUGGUUGAAGGCCUGGCAACAGGACGACUGCAGUUGAGCACCUGACAAUGAGAAAAGCCCCGGGAGAGGUCCCACACCCUGGUGGGGGGGCCGAGUCAGCCGUUAUGUUCCAAGAAGGUAGCUAAGAAACUUGCCCCCGGGCUGAACCCUUGGGGGGCCGAGUCAGUCGUUAUGUUCCAAGAAGGUAGCUAAGAAACUUGCCCCCGGGCUGAACCCUUGGGGGGCCGAGUCAGUCGUUAUGUUCCAAGAAGGUAGCUAGGAAACUUGCCCCCGGGCUAAACCCUUGCCAUAUUAGAAUCCACCAAUUAUAUCCCUGUAACCAUGCAUCUGCUUCUGUAUGCUUGCUUCUGCUCCCCAAAAUCCUAUAAAAGCCCAUCCUUGGUUCCGUGGGGCGCGCCAGUCCCCCGAGUGACUGAAGCGCCCGCAGGUGCCUGUGCCUGUGUAUCCCGACAAUAAACCAAAUCCUCUUGCUGAUU
ensembl:lncRNA